GGAUGUGGGUGAUAUAGCCACAGCAUCUGUCACCUUGCUCAUCCCGAGGGUUCGUUCUGCUGAUCUGGCUGGCUAGACUGUAGUCACUUUCUUCUUCCCUGCUCCAUGGCCUUCAUGAAGCUGCUUCCUGUGUUACAUAGGGCUUUCCCCAGUAGAGGACCAAACCUUUGUCAAGAUUAAAACUUUGUCAAGAGUAGCAAGAACUGCUGGCACCUCGGGACAACUUUCAAGAUUGUGAGUCACAGCCAAUUCUGUGCCUACAU
rnacentral:sRNA from 1 species